CUUAUUGUCUUAAGGUUUUUAGGUUGAGAUGUGGCGCUUCCCUCUCUUUUGAUCUUGGAGCAUUAUUCUCAUUGAUGCUCCUGACUCUCCCGAACUCCCCAACAGUGGUAUCAGAGUCUAGUUCAGCUUUGUGGGGAAAGCAGGAGCUAGAUUCGGUGUUGGGUCCUUUUAUAGGAUAUGGGGGACUCACACUUACGGGAGAGAAUAUUGGGUGCAAGUGUGAGUGUUUAAAACCCCACAUUGCCUAUGAAAGGGUGAAAUAUUGAUA
rnacentral:lncRNA from 1 species